AUUAAAUUACAAAUAUAUUAAAAUAAAUAUGAAUGUUUUAUAAAAUACAAAGAAUAAGAAUUCAGUAAGAAGUCUAGUUCCCAGCAACAUCAAUUACUUUGUUCAGUCUGGAUGGAACAGACUCAAUUAAAAUUUCAAAUAUUUCCAGCAGUCUUCAUAUUUUCUCCCAAAUUUGUUUUGCUUGAAUUAAAACAUCUUGUCAAGAAGGAGGACUUUCCCAAUCCCACUCUUGUAUUACUUAUCCCCAUACAUUUUCUAUUGGAUUUAAGUCUGUGGCUUUGGCCAGCUAAUGUAAUCCAAUUUAUUUUGGGAUGCUGUUGAAACUACUGCCUUACAGUUCUGCAUGUAUGAAUGGGAUAGUUGCCUGGAAAAAAUGAAAAAGAAUGUCCUGGAGAAUAAACAAUCAAUAUGGUUGGCAAGAGAAUGGAUUCUAAUAUACUUAUAGACGGUCAAUUCAAUUCAAUAUAUUUAAACUAGUUCUCCUGGACUCUGUGCAGAUAGCCAGCCCCACAUAUCCAUGCUUUUGUAUCUUGAUUUUUGUAUAUGAGCUAUAUUUUCAGGUGAAUAAUGAGUUCCUGCUUCUCUAUAGCAAUGAAAUUCUUCAUGACAGUUGGCUGGAAAUGUUUUUUUUAUCAGAAAAUAUCACAGAUUUCCAAAAUUUGUGUGUAGGAUAAUUAUUGUAAUGCAAAUCCUAAUCUGAGUUUUUUUAGGAAUGUUAACCAAG
rnacentral:lncRNA from 1 species